CUGAGACUGCAGAGGGAGAAGAUUGCACAGCUAGGACACCGUGGAUGGAGAGACAACACUUUGAAAAUCACACUUAGGAUGUGGGUUCAACUCAGCAACAAGAAACUUUGAGAAAGACACAGCAUCUGAUCUGAUCAUCCUGUACCCAGCACAAUGACUGUAAGGAUGGGAUUUAGUAUCAUCUACCAUGCUGCCUCAUAGCUCCUGCAUUUGACUUUACAAUAAGCUGCCAUAAAGAGGUG